UCGACGCGAGCACUUGUGCUCGAGUGGCGAACGGGUGAGUAAUACAUAAGUAACCUGCCCUAGACAGGGGGAUAACUAUUGGAAACGAUAGCUAAGACCGCAUAGGUACGGACACUGCAUGGUGACCGUAUUAAAAGUGCCUCAAAGCACUGGUAGAGGAUGGACUUAUGGCGCAUUAGCUGGUUGGCGGGGUAACGGCCCACCAAGGCGACGAUGCGUAGCCGACCUGAGAGGGUGACCGGCCACACUGGGACUGAGACACGGCCCAGACUCCUACGGGAGGCAGCAGUAGGGAAUUUUCGGCAAUGGGGGAAACCCUGACCGAGCAACGCCGCGUGAAGGAAGAAGGUUUUCGGAUUGUAAACUUCUGUUAUAUAGGAAGAACGGCGGCUA
rnacentral:rRNA from 1 species